UUUCCCAUUUGACUACCACAUUUUCUCCUAAUGAUAGAUUUUAGUGGCUAUGCUUAUGGGAUAGAUUAAAAUUGCCAUGAUCUGAAGAGGGAUGAUCUUUUGGUGUCUUCCUUCUAUAUGAAAUGGCUGAACAGAAAGUU
rnacentral:snoRNA from 12 species